rnacentral:tRNA from 1 species
GCCAGCAUGGUACAGUGGUUUGAGCACUGGACUAUGAAUCUGGACAGCAGGGUUCAAAUCCCUGUUCAGCCA